rnacentral:rRNA from 1 species
CCUACGGGGCGCAGCAGUAGGGUAUCUUCGGCAAUGGACGAAAGUCUGACCGAGCAACGCCGCGUGAGUGAAGAAGGUUUUCGGAUCGUAAAACUCUGUUGUUAGAGAAGAACAAGUAAGAGAGUAACUGCUCUUACCUUGACGGUAUCUAACCAGAAAGCCACGGCUAACUACGUGCAAGCAGCCGCGGUAAUACGUAGGUGGCAAGCGUUGUCCGGAUUUAUUGGGCGUAAAGCGAGCGCAGCCGGUCUUUUAAGUCUGAUGUGAAAGCCCUCGGCUCAACCGAGGAAGGUCAUUGGAAACUGGAGGACUUGAGUGCAGAAGAGGAGAGUGGAAUUCCAUGUGUAGCGGUGAAAUGCGUAGAUAUAUGGAGGAACACCAGUGGCGAAGGCGACUCUCUGGUCUGUAACUGACGCUGAGGUUCGAAAGCGUGGGGAGCAAACAGGAUUAGAUACCCCCGUAGUC